rnacentral:rRNA from 1 species
GACGAACGCUGGCGGCGUGCCUAAUACAUGCAAGUCGAGCGCUGAAGGUUGGUACUUGUACCGGCUGGAUGAGCAGCGAAUGGGUGAUUAACGCGUGGCGUAUCUGUCACUGAGCGGGGAACAACAUUAGGAAACGAAUGCUAAUACCGCAUAAAAACUCUAAACACAAGUUUGAAGGGUGAAAGAUGGAAUUGCAUCACGCAAAGAUGAUCCCGCUUUGUAUUAGCUAGUUGGUGAGGUAAAGGCUCACCAAGGCGAGGUUACAUAGCCGACCUGGGAGGGUGGUCGGCCACCCUGGGAGGGGGACCCGGCACACACUGCUUCGGGAGGCAGCCGUAGGGCAUCUUCGGCCAGAGGCGAGAGUCUGACCGAGCAGCGCCGAGGCCGUGAAGAAGGUUUUCGCGUCGUAGAACUCUGUCUGUGGGGAAGAACGUUCGUGAGACUGGAAAGAACAGCAAGUGACGGUACCUACACAGAAAGCGACGGCUAACUACGUG